UACGUAGGGGGCAAGCGUUGUCCGGAUUUAUUGGGCGUAAAGAGCGUGUAGGCGGCCAGGUAGGUCCGUUGUGAAAACUCGAGGCUCAACCUCGAGACGCCGAUGGAAACCAUCUGGCUAGAGUCCGGAAGGGGAGAGUGGAAUUCCCGGUGUAGCGGUGAAAUGCGUAGAUAUUGGGAGGAACACCAGUGGCGAAGGCGGCUCACUGGACUGGUACUGACGCUGAUGCGCGAAAGCGUGGGGAGCAAACAGG
rnacentral:rRNA from 1 species